AUGAGGAUGCCAAAGCUUAGAGAAGAUAUGUGAUUUGCCCAAGAUCACACUAAGGAUUAUAGAACAGCAAUAAAAAUGUACAUCAAGUAGAAAUAUUCUGCCAACCAUAUCUGAAACUACAUAUAUAAUUUUCAAUGUUUCAAUUGCCGCAUUUAAAAAGUAAAAGAAACAGGUGAAGAAACUGAGAUGUGAAGAACCUAAGUCAUUUGCUCAGGUCAUAUAACCAGUAUGUGGUGGAGGCUAACAGCAAGGUAGCCAACCUGAAUCAAGACAUCUCCCCCACACAACACUGCCUCCUAGAGGGAUCUCAUUUGUUUUGCUUAUUCUCGACCGUGCUCAACAUCAAAGUUUUGCAUUAAAAGAUGUUUAGUACCGAUUUCUUGUGGACCUCACAGGUAGGCAUGAUUCUACCUUAAACAUUUCGCUUAAGAUGGUUUUAAGUAGUAAAUGAACACAUUGUCCAUUAUACAGUCUCAAAGGUUUGAAGUCUAAACUUCCUAACUGCUAGUUAAAGUCUAUUAUCUUUGUGUUUGCCUAACUUCUGCAGGACAUAUCAAGGAAGUUAAACAUGUCUGUUAUAAAUGUUGGGUACCUAAUUGCCUUACCUUAUAGCUGAGCCAGUAGGCAGACACUAAAUAAAGAAAACCUCCCGGCUCACAAUGACAUACUGUCUUUGAACAUCUUUCAAGCAGAGGAAAGAUAACGGCCAUGUAUGAGGUUAGUCAAGACUGCUGAUUUGCAGUCUCUUCAGGAAAUUGUAGUGUUUCCGAGGACAAUAUUCCUAGUCAAAAUAGAUUAAGCUUGAAGCCAAAGUGAUGACCACAGUCAAAGUUAAUAAUACUGUAUGUUUGGUUGGAAACAACUGGAAGAAAAAUAAGUUACCGUAGCAGACAGUCUGCCCUAUAAUCCUUUAUUCUCGGGUCCUUGUCAGGCAGAAAAUGAAGUUUUCUCUUUGAGGACUUUGUAGACAGACAAAAAAAUACCAUUUACCCUGAUGAAAUGGAGUCUAGGGUUAGAGGGGCCUAAGUAUGUUUUAGAUAAAAACUGGCCCUCUGCUCCGUCCCACUCGGGGCGUGUCCCGUCACGUGCCAGAACUGGGGUCCGGUGCAGAGUGCCCCUUGUCCUGGGAAACGGGGUGCGACCGUAAAGGCGGCCUCCCCCUUGCCCGUCACGCAACGCACGUUCGUGGGGAACCUGGCGCUAAACCAUUCGUAGACGACCUGCUUCUGGGUCCGGGUUUCCAACGUAGCAGAGCAGUUCCCUCGCUGCGAUCUAUUGAAAGUCAGCCCUCGACACAAGGGUUUGAAAAAAGAAGAAAGAAAAAAAAGAAAACAAAAAGAAAAAAACAACAACAACA